rnacentral:rRNA from 1 species
GACGAACGCUGGCGGCGUGCUUAACACAUGCAAGUCGAACGGAAAGGCCCUGCUUUUGUGGGGUGCUCGAGUGGCGAACGGGUGAGUAACACGUGAGUAACCUGCCCUUGACUUUGGGAUAACUUCAGGAAACUGGGGCUAAUACCGGAUAGGAGCUCCUGCUGCCUGGUGGGUGUUGGAAAGUUUCGGCGGUUGGGGAUGGACUCGCGGCUUAUCAGCUUGUUGGUGGGGUAGUGGCUUACCAAGGCUUUGACGGGUAGCCGGCCUGAGAGGGUGACCGGCCACAUUGGGACUGAGAUACGGCCCAGACUCCUACGGGAGGCAGCAGUGGGGAAUAUUGCACAAUGGGCGGAGGCCUGAUGCAGCAACGCCGCGUGCGGGAUGACGGCCUUCGGGUUGUAAACCGCUUUCGCCUGUGACGAAGCGUGAGUGACGGUAAUGGGUAAAGAAGCACCGGCUAACUACGUG